GAUCAUGGCUCAGAACGAACGCUGGUGGCGUGUCUUAUACAUGCAAGUCGAGCGAGGCAGCAAUGCCGAGCGGCGAACGGGUGAGUAACGCGUAAGCAAUCUGCCCCAUAUCAGGAAAUACCCGUGCCAACGCGCGGUUAAUGUCCAGGAGAGUGGCCCCCUGCAUGGGGGGUUGACUAGAGAUUUAUCGGUAUGGGAUGAGCUUGCGUCCGAUUAGCUAGUUGGCGGGGCAACGGCCCACCAAGGCGACGAUCGGUAGCCGGCCUGAGAGGGUGAUCGGCCACAUUGGGACUGAGAUACGGCCCAGACUCCUACGGGAGGCAGCAGUAGGGAAUAUUGCACAAUGGGGGAAACCCUGAUGCAGCAACGCCACGUGUGGGAAAGAAGCAUUUCGGUGUGUAAACCACUGUCAUGAGGGAAUAAGGCCCGUCUUCGGACGGGAUUGAAUGUACCUUGAGAGGAAGCACCGGCAAACUUCGUGCCAGCAGCAGC
rnacentral:rRNA from 1 species